AUUGAACGCUGGCGGCAUGCUUUACACAUGCAAGUCGAGCGGCAGCGCGGGGGCAACCUUGGCGGCGAGCGGCGAACGGGUGAGUAACGCAUCGGAACGUAUCCUGUAGUGGGGAAUAACUCACCGAAAGGUGAGCUAAUACCGCAUAAGCUCUGAGGAGGAAAGCGGGGGACCGAAAGGCCUCGCGCUGCAGGAGCGGCCGAUGUCCGAUUAGCUAGUUGGUGAGGUAAAGGCUCACCAAGGCGACGAUCGGUAGCUGGUCUGAGAGGAUGAUCAGCCACACUGGGACUGAGACACGGCCCAGACUCCUACGGGAGGCAGCAGUGGGGAAUUUUGGACAAUGGGCGCAAGCCUGAUCCAGCCAUGCCGCGUGCGGGAAGAAGGCCU
rnacentral:rRNA from 1 species